rnacentral:rRNA from 1 species
GACAGAGGUGGCAAGCGUUGUUCGGAUUUAUUGGGCGUAAAGCGCACGCAGGCGGUUUGGUAAGUCAGGGGUGAAAGCCCACAGCUUAACUGUGGGACUGCCUUUGAUACUGCCUUUCUUGAGUGCAUGAGGGGGAAGCGGAAUUCCGAGUGUAGAGGUGAAAUUCGUAGAUAUUCGGAGGAACACCGGUGGCGAAGGCGGCUUCCUGGCAUGUAACUGACGCUCAGGUGCGAAAGCGUGGGGAG